CAGAGGGUGCGAGCGUUGUUCGGAAUUACUGGGCGUAAAGCGCGCGCAGGCGGUCCUUUAAGUCUACCCGUGAAAUGCCGGAGCUCAACUCCGUGCACGCCGGGGGAUACUGGGGGACUGGAGACAUGUAGAGGCAAGCGGAAUUCCGGGUGUAGCGGUGGAAUGCGUAGAUAUCCGGAAGAACACCUGAGGCGAAGGCGGCUUGCUGGGCAUGAUCUGACGCUGAGGCGCGAAAGCGUGGGGAGCAAACAGGAUUAGAUACCCUGGUAGUCCACGCCGUAAACGAUGGGCACUAGACGCGGGUGGGAUCGACCCCUUCCGUGUCGCAGCUAACGCGAUAAGUGCCCCGCCUGGGGAGUACGGCCGCAAGGCUG
rnacentral:rRNA from 1 species